rnacentral:rRNA from 1 species
GAUGAACGCUGGCGGCGUGCCUAAUACAUGCAAGUCGAGCGAACAGACGAGGAGCUUGCUCCUCUGACGUUAGCGGCGGACGGGUGAGUAACACGUGGAUAACCUACCUAUAAGACUGGGAUAACUUCGGGAAACCGGAGCUAAUACCGGAUAAUAUAUUGAACCGCAUGGUUCAAUAGUGAAAGACGGUUUUGCUGUCACUUAUAGAUGGAUCCGCGCCGCAUUAGCUAGUUGGUAGGGUAACGGCUUACCAAGGCAACGAUGCGUAGCCGACCUGAGAGGGUGAUCGGCCACACUGGAACUGAGACACGGUCCAGACUCCUACGGGAGGCAGCAGUAGGGAAUCUUCCGCAAUGGGCGAAAGCCUGACGGAGCAACGCCGCGUGAGUGAUGAAGGUCUUCGGAUCGUAAAACUCUGUUAUUAGGGAAGAACAAAUGUGUAAGUAACUAUGCACGUCUUGACGGUACCUAAUCAGAAAGCCACGGCUAACUACAUG